rnacentral:sRNA from 1 species
GUUUAGCCGCGAUUGAAGCGGCAUCCUUUUUACUGUAAAAAUAAAUAAGCGUAAUUGCGAGGAACGAAGCAAUCUGUUUCUAAUUAUGAGAUUGCCACAGUUUACAAAAAAGUAAACUUCGCAAUAAUAGCAGUAAAAAGAUACAGCGGAAAGCGGGAAAUAGC